rnacentral:lncRNA from 1 species
CGCCGCCGCCUCCGUCCGUCGGACGGAUUAUCUCUGAGGGUACAAAGGCUGCGAGCGCGGUGCGGAGCCGGGGAUCUCCGCUUAGUGCCCGUAUCCCGGGGCACGGCCUCUGGCACGGCGCCCUCGGGGACGGCAGAGCGCCGAUCGCUCCGGCGUAGGUCAGCUGCGAGCCGAAGUUCCCCUUUCCGAGGUCGGUUUGUCCAUUGUGUCUCUGAAAAGCAGCAAUCCACCGAUUUCCUCCAGCUGGAGAAGUGCCUGUGGAAGGAAGAGCCGUUUGUUUUGGUCCCCGCUCUCCCCAGCCCGUCUCUGCCCUCGGUAAUACCGCUUUGGGAAACCUUAGAAAUGGCCGUAACAGCUGCUCUGCUGCGGUGCACGAUCCCUAAAUUGCAAGGUUAGCUUUGCUCCUGGCGGUGCACUGAAUGCUGACAGCCUCUGCCUGCGUUUAGGGCUCCGUUUACACCUAAGGCUGUCGCCAGGUGCGUGCAUCGAUUUGUUUGGCUUAGUUUCCUUCUCUUGCUUAAAAUCGUGUUGCUGGGAAGGUCCAGGAAGCACGUGAGCCUGAGGUGCGAUGUGAGUGUUGUCCUGGAGCCCCGUGCAAAGGUAUUCCUUCACCUGGCCUGCUGGCGGUGCUGCUCAGAGACCUCCAACGAGGUGGGUCACCAAGUGCAGGGUUGGCAGUGAAGUUGUCCCCUUCUGCCUCCCUCUCGAUCAGCAGCGUUGGCAGGGCUGCUGUCUGUGAAGAGCACCGUCCCUGGACGUGUUCAGGAAAAGGGCAGAUGUGGCACUGAGGGCCGUGGUUAGCAGGCAUGGUGGGGAUGGGCUGAUAGUUGGACUUGGUGAUCUUAGUGGUUGCUUUUGACCUUCAUGAUUCUAGAUUUUAUGAAUACAGACUGUGUGUUGGAGGACUGUAACGCUCUCCAUCAGACGAGGUGUGAGCUGUGGGGCGCACAGGAGCGGAAAGGAGGCCUGACUCCACUGCAGCUGGGAUGAUUGGAGUGUUCCUGGGGCGGGACCAGGCUCUGUUAAUCUAAAAGCCCCUGGCAGGCUGCAUAAUCAUUUAAAACCUUCUUAAAACAUUUGCCUAGCCGUGUGUGUUUUAUUUAUAUUGCAUUUUGUGGUGAAUAGAUGCCCUUUGCUGUCCCUUGCACAAUUGCGCUUAUGGGAUGCUUGCCAUUUGUAAGUAUGGGUUUCCAUUUCUGUUUUGAUAAUUUCUUUUGGUCAUCAUUUCAAAGAUAUAAAUAUGUACAAGGGGGAUAUGCCACCGGCCUUAGUAACAGAGCAGAAUGUAAUAGAUACUCUAUCUCAGAAGUGGUUUAGGAUUCCUGGGUGGAAAAUGCUCAAGUGUAGAGAUGUUAUUACUUCAUAGUGUAUGAAAAUAUUGCUGUAAUACAGUAAGUAUUGCAUAAAUAACUUAUAUUCAUUCUUACAAGUCACAGAAUUAGCUCAUAUUUGAGAAGAUGUCUCUAAAUGUAACUGUAGAUGAAAAAUCCUCCCUGUCUCUCUCUUUGCUGUGAUGAGGGUGAGUGUUGGUUGGCUGUAUGUGGUACGGUCCUACAUUCAUGGCAUAAACUUGUUUGAGCAACAGGAACUGUGUAUGCAUCAUUCUUCUUAAACCUCUUGUUUUGGACGUCAAGAAGCAGAGAUUUUGGUGUGAUAAGCACAAAGCAGAAGAGUAUUUUGCUUUCUUCCACAUUUCCUGUUCAUUGAAGUGUUGGUAACUCCAGAGUUUGGCCAGAGCUUUUUAUUUGCUUGGAGGCUAACUGGGGCUAUAUGCAUGCAGCCUUGUUUUCUAUCUUUUCUUUUCUUUUUUUUACUGUUUCCUUCUGUUUGCCUCUGUAACAAAUGAGACAGGACAUGUUGUUUCUGUUUAUAAUGUCGCCAGAAUUGAGGUUACUGACCUCACUGGCCCAGCGAGCUGUCCCUGUAGGGAAGUUGUAGCAUCCCCCGAGGUGGAUAAUAAACUCAAGUGGUUCAUAAAGUGUCCUUUAACCCUGACACUUGUUAAUUGAUUUCCGAGCUGGAGCGGUUUGUAACUUAGCUAAUUUUUAUUUCCUUCUGUCCAGCUCGGGGACUGUAGAAACAGUCUGGUUGUUUUCUGACUCCUGCCCUUUGCAUGGCUCUGUAUGUUGUCACACGGUGCCUUAUAGGAGCUUGGUGACUCUCUGAGCCGCAUCCAUGCUGUGCAGCUCUACCAAAAUCACUGCGUGAGAAACCUCCUGGCCUCGCUGUCAUCAUGUCAGCAAAAUCCCAAGCACAGACAGCGUGCUUCUGGUGGAAAGCUGCUUCUGUAGCACUGCUCGGGUCUUUGGGGAGUGGUUGGCUAUGGUGGGAGGCAAGCCCAUUCAUUCCGUGUCCAUUCCGUUUUCUGAUUCUUUAGUAUUCGUGUAAUGGUGAAGUCAAGGCUGAAUGCAGUUCUCCAUGCAAGGGUGUGCAUGUCUGUUCAGCUCAGGGCUGGGGCUUUAUGCACUGUUUCACUUCUGUGCUUUUCUGGCUCACUCAGACUCUGUUAUGUAUCAGACACCCUAAUGCAGAGCAGCUCUGUUAGAAGUGUGUUAUGAUUAAAGGUGUCUGCAUAUUCCUUCUUUGUACUUAGCUAGCUGCUUGCUUUUGACAGUGUGCUACUGCUCUCUUUGUAAGUAUUUUAUUUUUUAUUUUCUAAGGAAUCCACAGAAUUUAAAAAAAAAAAGAAAAGAAAAAGAGUAAAAAGCACUCUCAACUUGCAGGUUAGCAGUUUGUGAUUUUCUUUUCCCUUUUUUUUUUUCUUUUUUUUUCUUUGCUAUCCAUUAUAGUUUCUCUCAAUUCUGGGCACUGUGUGAGAUGAGUAAUAUCAAAUCUCUUUAGCAAAGAUAAAGCUGCUGCCGAAGUGAAAUGAAUCCUGACUAAUGUUCAGUGCUAAUAAUUACAGAACUAAAAUAAAAGAAAUUAAAUGAGCUAUGGAUUUUCUGUAGCUGAGAAGUUCAGUGUAGAUAUGUUUCUUUGCUGAAUCUGCAUCUGAAUCUCAAGGUUAUCUCAUCCGCUUUUUAUUUACACUUAAAAAAAA